rnacentral:lncRNA from 1 species
CAAAAUACAAAGUUACUCGCACCGGCGAGUUAAACAACUAUGUACAUAAACUCUAAAAUAGCAACUACCUGCAGUAGGGGGGUGCCUUUAGCUCUGUCAGUCGGGUAGGGCUCUACCUCGCGACGCCCUUGCCUCGAUCCUGAUCCGCGGAAGGCGCAGUAGCUGAAACCUGUGGCUCUGCAAAACAUAGGUAACAACUGGGCGUGAGAACUACUGUAAAAACAAGUAGUCCUCAGUGGGUACCGCCCAAAACGACAUCGGUCACCCACUAAGUCUACAGAAGGGAGCAAGGAUAGAAGGAAAAGCAGGAAGUACACUCUAUCGCUAUCAUCCACUACACUAUCAUGCUCUACAUUAACCGACUGUAGGAAAUGUCAAAUCUGACCCAAUCCAAUUGGGACUGUAAACAUACCCGUCCCUGGGACUGUGAACACACCCGUCCCUGCCCCGUUGCGACUAUCAGGCUCUAUCCACACUAGCUGGUCCGUGGAGAGCAAGUCCAACUGGCAUGAGCGACACCAACGCAAAAGCACCGCGCCCGCCUCCGGAGUGGCACUCGUGGGAGCUACCCAACCGAGUAUGCAGCGUAUCUCUGUCGAGCUCAAACAGGCUCUCUAACUCAAGCCGAAGUCCAGUAACAACUCUGACUAGUCUAAAUACAACAAACAACGUGCCCUCGGCACAAUCCGACGCCAAAACGGCGAACCGGGCCCACCGUCAGUCCCGACGGCGCCCACUAGUACGAAACAGUCUAAACGACCUCAGAAAAAUUCACUCGGCAUACCAGCACGAGCGUAAAUGUAUUCUAAACUACCUGGAGUACUCGUCUACAGUAUGCUGCGACAGUACAAUUCUAUAACGGCUCCUAGAGCUAAAUCAGGCAGUUUAAUACAUAUGUCGAUUCCAAUCGCGUUUUCUCCUAAGUUUAAACCCAGUCCAACAUGUAUAUUUAAAAGGUAAUAAUCAUGUUAUAUAUGCAGCAUUUGUCCAGGAUAUCAUUAUGAAAAACGAACUACAAC